rnacentral:tRNA from 1 species
GGGUGUAUAGCUCAGUUGGUAGAGCAGCUGACUCUUAAUCAGCGGGCCGUAGGUUCAAAUCCUACUAUACCCA